rnacentral:rRNA from 1 species
UGAAGUCGUUGCAGUUAAAAAGCUCGUAGUUGAAUUUCGGGGUUAGUAGGUUGGUCGUGCCACUGGUAUGUACUGGCUUUACUGAUUCCUCCUUCUUGAAGAACUGUAAUGUCAUUAAUUUGGUGUUGCAGGGAAACAGGACUGUUACUUUGAAAAAAUUAGAGUGUUUAAAGCAGGCUAACGCCUGAAUACAUUAGCAUGGAAUAAUGAAAUAGGACGUCUGAUCCUAUUUUGGUGGUUUCUAGGAUUGACGUAAUGAUUAAUAGGG